GAAAGAUGGCUUUGGCUAUCACUCUGGGAUGGACCUGCGGUGCAUUAGCUAGUUGGUAAGGUAACGGCUUACCAAGGCGAUGAUGCAUAGCCGAGUUGAGAGACUGAUCGGCCACAAUGGAACUGAGACACGGUCCAUACUCCUACGGGAGGCAGCAGUAGGGAAUCUUCCACAAUGGGCGCAAGCCUGAUGGAGCAACACCGCGUGAGUGAAGAAGGGUUUCGGCUCGUAAAGCUCUGUUGUUGGAGAAGAACGUGCGUGAGAGUAACUGUUCACGCAGUGACGGUAUCCAACCAGAAAGUCACGGCUAACUACGUGCCAGCAGCCGCGGUAAUACGUAGGUGGCAAGCGUUAUCCGGAUUUAUUGGGCGUAAAGCGAGCGCAGGCGGUUGCUUAGGUCUGAUGUGAAAGCCUUCGGCUUAACCGAAGAAGUGCAUCGGAAACCGGGCGACUUGAGUGCAGAAGAGGACAGUGGAACUCCAUGUGUAGCGGUGGAAUGCGUAGAUAUAUGGAAGAACACCAGUGGCGAAGGCGGCUGUCUGGUCUGCAACUGACGCUGAGGCUCGAAAGCAUGGGUAGCGAACAGGAUUAGAUACCCUGGUAGUCCAUGCCGUAAAC
rnacentral:rRNA from 1 species